ensembl:miRNA MIR122 microRNA 122
UCCUUAGCAGAGCUGUGGAGUGUGACAAUGGUGUUUGUGUCUAAACUAUCAAACGCCAUUAUCACACUAAAUAGCUACUGCUAGGCAAUCCUUCCCUCGAU